rnacentral:misc_RNA from 1 species
ACGCACGACUAUGACGUGAAGAUGCGUAAUGUCGUGAAGUUCAUCGAAAACGGCGACAAGGUGAAGUGCACGCUGCGCUUCCGUGGCCGCGAAAUGGCGCACCAGCAGCUGGGUAUGGACCUGCUCAACCGCGUGCGCGACGACGUGGAAGAGAUCGCCAAGGUGGAAAGCUUCCCGCGCCUCGAAGGACGCCAGAUGCUGAUGGUGCUGGCUCCGAAGUAAGCGAGUUUGGUUUACGGAUUUAUGAGGCGGGGCGUCACUUGGUGACUGCCCCGCCUUUUUGCUUCAGGCGGGCCCGUCGACCACGAACGCACUUUUUGCAUCGA